UCCAACGAAGUGGGUUUUUACCCACAAAAGCUUAUGCUCCAACACGUCUGUUAAUCUACAAGGUGCCAAGGACUCUUUGCCGCUUUUACAGAUCCAGACUAACACGGCUACCCCUCUGAUACUUGAUAACAUGAGAAC